rnacentral:tRNA from 1 species
GACCGCAUAGCUCAGUUGGCAGAGCAUUGGGCUGGUAUUCCAAAGGUUGUAGGUUCGAUUCCCACCGUGGUCA